CAAUAGCGUAUAUUAAAGUGGUUGCAGUUAGAACGCUCGUAGUCGGAUUUCGGGGCGGGCCGACCGGUCUGCCGAUGGGUAUGCACUGGUCGGCGCGUCCUUCCUUCCGGAGACCGUCCCUACUCUUAACUGAGCGGGGGCGGGAGACGGGACUUUUACUUUGAAAAAAUCAGAGUGUUUCAAGCAGGCAGCUCGCUCUUGCAUGGAUUAGCAUGGGAUAAUGAAAUAGGACUUUGGUGCUAUUUUGUUGGUUUCGAACACCGAAGUAAUGAUGAGAAGGGACAGUCAGGGGCACUCGUAUUCCGCCGAGAGAGGUGAAAUUCUCAGACCAGCGGAAGACGAACCACUGCGAAANCANNNGCCAGGGAUGUUUUCACNGA
rnacentral:rRNA from 1 species